GACGAACGCUGGCGGCGUGCUUAACACAUGCAAGUCGUACGGUAAGGCCCUUUCUGGGGUACACGCGUGGCGAACGGGUGAGUAACACGUGAGUAACCUGCCCACAACUUUGGGAUAACGCUAGGAAACUGGUGCUAAUACUGGCUAUGUGCUCCUGCUGCAUGGUGGGGGUUGGAAAGAUCCGGCGGUUGUGGAUGGACUCGCGGCCUAUCAGCUUGUUGGUGGGGUAGUGGCCUACCAAGGCGGCGACGGGUAGCCGGCCUGAGAGGGUGACCGGCCACAAUGGGACUGAGAUACGGCCCAGACUCCUACGGGGGGCAGCAGUGGGGAAUAUUGCACAAUGGGCGCAAGCCUGAUGCAGCAACGCCGCGUGCGGGAUGACGGCCUUCGGGUUGUAAACCGCUUUCAGCAGGGACGAAGCUUUUUGUGACGGUACCUGCAGAAGAAGCACCGGCUAACUACGUG
rnacentral:rRNA from 1 species